GACAGAGGGUGCAAACGUUGUUCGGAAUUACUGGGCGUAAAGCGCAUGUAGGCGGCCAAGCAGGUCGGAUGUGAAAUCCCUCGGCUCAACCAAGGAAGUGCAUUCGAAACCGCAUGGCUCGAGUCCCGGAGAGGAAGGUGGAAUUCUCGGUGUAGAGGUGAAAUUCGUAGAUAUCGAGAGGAACACCGGUGGCGAAAGCGGCCUUCUGGACGAGGACUGACGCUGAGAUGCGAAAGCGUGGGGAGCGAACAGG
rnacentral:rRNA from 1 species